GUUUUAGUGGUUUAAAUAAAAUAUUGAUCUUGUAAAUCAAAGUUGGGAUAUCCCCUAAAGCU
rnacentral:tRNA from 1 species